rnacentral:snRNA from 1 species
GUGCUUGCUUUGGCAGCACAUACGCUAAAAUUGGAAUGAUACAGAGAAGAUUAGCAUGGCCUCUGCACAAAGAUGACAAGCAAAUCCAUGAAGCAUUCCAUAUUUUU